rnacentral:lncRNA from 1 species
UUGAGGAAGUUUUGUUGUUUAUUGCUUUUCAGGGUGAUCGAGGACAGUCUGGACCACCUGGUUCAGAUGGAGCCAAGGUGACUAUUUGUCUAUGCAUGAUCGGAAGCCCCUCUUUAUAAAUAUUUCUAUAUUUGUACUAUAUCCCUUGUGCUCUUUAGUGUUCCCCGGGCUUAUUUCAAAGCAUUUUAAGGUGUGAUAAGUCGUUUAAACAAUUUUUAACAAUGAUUUUACAAAAUGUAGCUAUUUAAAUGAGUUUUAUACGUUUUGAUAUCAUCCUUUGUAUAAUUCAAUGUUUUUUAGGGAGACAGAGGCCUUCCAGGUCCAGCAGGAGACAAGGGAGAUAAAGGUUCAGCAGGCCCCCCUGGACUUCAAGGACUGAGGGUGAGUGGCUGCACGAGCCAUGAUAAGUCACAAGCAAUGUAAAAAUGCAUGAGUGUACAUGCAUGCUGUAAAUUAUUUAUAUGUGCCUUCAGGGAUUUCCAGGGAGUAGUGGCCUUCCCGGAGAAAAGGUAAGUUAAGAUUUCAGCAUUAUUGUCAUUCUUAUACUUUAUUUUGUACUUGUACUAUAAUUUUAUUUAUUUAUUUAUUUAUUUAAUUAUGUGUAUCUGUCUGCUUUUAGGGUGCUGAGGGUGAAAAAGGGCAACCGGGAAGCUGUGUAAGACCAGAAUAUUAACGUUUUCAAAUUCAUAUGAACAUUUCAUUCAUUUGUAAUGGUCCUCUUGACAUUUUUCCCUGUGGCUUUUUUAGGACUGUCAAGGUUCAUUUGGGAAGAAAGGAGAGCGGGGUGAAAGGGGCCUCCCAGGUCCUGAUGGCGGCAAAGGUGAUAAAGGAGAUGCAGGACAAAAAGGGGAAAGGGUGAGUUUUGUGAAUGAAUGAAGGUGUUCAUCUGGGAAAUCUUAGGUUAGGAAAGGAAGGAGCGGAGGUUAGAACUUUUGAGUAACAAUGCGGAAGAC